rnacentral:rRNA from 1 species
ACGUACACUCCUACGGGAGGCAGCAGUGGGGAAUAUUGGACAAUGGGCGCAAGCCUGAUCCAGCCAUGCCGCGUGAGUGAUGAAGGCCCUAGGGUUGUAAAGCUCUUUCACCGGUGAAGAUAAUGACGGUAACCGGAGAAGAAGCCCCGGCUAACUUCGUGCCAGCAGCCGCGGUAAUACGAAGGGGGCUAGCGUUGUUCGGAUUUACUGGGCGUAAAGCGCACGUAGGCGGACUAUUAAGUCAGGUGUGAAAUCCCGGGGCUCAACCCCGGAACUGCCUUUGAUACUGGUAGUCUUGAGUUCGAGAGAGGUGAGUGGAAUUCCGAGUGUAGAGGUGAAAUUCGUAGAUAUUCGGAGGAACACCAGUGGCGAAGGCGGCUCACUGGCUCGAUACUGACGCUGAGGUGCGAAAGCGUGGGGAGCAAACAGGAUUAGAAACCCUAGUAGUCCCAUGAU